rnacentral:rRNA from 1 species
UGCCAGACUCCUACGGGAGGCAGCAGUGAGGAAUAUUGGUCAAUGGCCGGAAGGCUGAACCAGCCAAGCCGCGUGAAGGACGAAGGUGCCAAGCAUUGUAAACUUCUUUUGUCAAGGGACAAAAUCAGGCUCGAGAGCCUGACCGAGGGUACUUGAAGAAAAAGCAUCGGCUAACUCCGUGCCAGCAGCCGCGGUAAUACGGAGGAUGCGAGCGUUAUCCGGAUUUAUUGGGUUUAAAGGGUGCGCAGGCGGAGGUGCAAGUCAGCGGUCAAAUUGCGGGGCUCAACCCCGUACUGCCGUUGAAACUGGCAGUCUCGAGUUGGAGAGAAGUAUGCGGAAUGCGCGGUGUAGCGGUGAAAUGCAUAGAUAUCGCGCAGAACUCCGAUUGCGAAGGCAGCAUGCCGGCUCCACACUGACGCUGAGGCACGAAAGCGUGGGUAUCGAACAGGAUUAGAUACCCGCGUA